rnacentral:rRNA from 2 species
AGCGGACAGAAGGGAGCUUGCUCCCGGAUGUUAGCGGCGGACGGGUGAGUAACACGUGGGUAACCUGCCUGUAAGACUGGGAUAACUCCGGGAAACCGGAGCUAAUACCGGAUAGUUCCUUGAACCGCAUGGUUCAAGGAUGAAAGACGGUUUCGGCUGUCACUUACAGAUGGACCCGCGGCGCAUUAGCUAGUUGGUGAGGUAACGGCUCACCAAGGCGACGAUGCGUAGCCGACCUGAGAGGGUGAUCGGCCACACUGGGACUGAGACACGGCCCAGACUCCUACGGGAGGCAGCAGUAGGGAAUCUUCCGCAAUGGACGAAAGUCUGACGGAGCAACGCCGCGUGAGUGAUGAAGGUUUUCGGAUCGUAAAGCUCUGUUGUUAGGGAAGAACAAGUGCAAGAGUAACUGCUUGCACCUUGACGGUACCUAACCAGAAAGCCACGGCUAACUACGUGCCAGCAGCCGCGGUAAUACGUAGGUGGCAAGCGUUGUCCGGAAUUAUUGGGCGUAAAGGGCUCGCAGGCGGUUUCUUAAGUCUGAUGUGAAAGCCCCCGGCUCAACCGGGGAGGGUCAUUGGAAACUGGGAAACUUGAGUGCAGAAGAGGAGAGUGGAAUUCCACGUGUAGCGGUGAAAUGCGUAGAGAUGUGGAGGAACACCAGUGGCGAAGGCGACUCUCUGGUCUGUAACUGACGCUGAGGAGCGAAAGCGUGGGGAGCGAACAGGAUUAGAUACCCUGGUAGUCCACGCCGUAAACGAUGAGUGCUAAGUGUUAGGGGGUUUCCGCCCCUUAGUGCUGCAGCUAAC